CCUACGGGAGGCAGCAGUGGGGGAUAUUGGACAAUGGGGGAAACCCUGAUCCAGCGACGCCGCGUGAGUGAAGAAGUCUUUCGGUAUGUAAAGCUCUGUCAGCAGGGAAGACAGAACUGACGGUACCUGACCAAGAAGCCCCGGCUAACUACGUGCCAGCAGCCGCGGUCAUACGUAGGGGGCAGGCGUUAUCCGGAAUUACUGGGUUUAAAGGGGGCGUAGACUGUGAUGCAAGUCUAGAGGUAAAGGCUGGGGGCCAAACCCCGUACUGCUCUGGAAACUGUGUGACUUGAGUGCAGGAGAGGGAAGCGGAAUGCGUGGUGUAGCGGUGAAAUGCGUAGAUAUUAGGAGGAACACCAGUGGCGAAGGCGGCUUACUGGAGUGUUACUGACGUUGAGGCUCGAAAGCGUGGGGAGCAAACAGGAUUAGAUACCCCUGUAGUC
rnacentral:rRNA from 1 species